GACGAACGCUGGCGGCGUGCUUAACACAUGCAAGUCGAACGGAAAGGCCCUGCUUUUGUGGGGUGCUCGAGUGGCGAACGGGUGAGUAACACGUGAGUAACCUGCCCUUGACUUUGGGAUAACUUCAGGAAACUGGGGCUAAUACCGGAUAGGAGCUCCUGCUGCAUGGUGGGGGUUGGAAAGUUUCGGCGGUUGGGGAUGGACUCGCGGCUUAUCAGCUUGUUGGUGGGGUAGUGGCUUACCAAGGCUUUGACGGGUAGCCGGCCUGAGAGGGUGACCGGCCACAUUGGGACUGAGAUACGGCCCAGACUCCUACGGGAGGCAGCAGUGGGGAAUAUUGCACAAUGGGCGGAAGCCUGAUGCAGCAACGCCGCGUGCGGGAUGACGGCCCUCGGGUUGUAAACCGCUUUCGCCUGUGACGAAGCGUGAGUGACGGUAAUGGGUAAAGAAGCACCAGCUAACUACGUG
rnacentral:rRNA from 1 species